rnacentral:rRNA from 1 species
AUUGAACGCUGGCGGCAUGCCUUACACAUGCAAGUCGAACGGCAGCACGGGAGCAAUCCUGGUGGCGAGUGGCGAACGGGUGAGUAAUACAUCGGAACGUGCCCAAUCGUGGGGGAUAACGCAGCGAAAGCUGUGCUAAUACCGCAUACGAUCUACGGAUGAAAGCAGGGGAUCGCAAGACCUUGCGCGAAUGGAGCGGCCGAUGGCAGAUUAGGUAGUUGGUGAGGUAAAGGCUCACCAAGCCGUCGAUCUGUAGCUGGUCUGAGAGGACGACCAGCCACACUGGGACUGAGACACGGCCCAGACUCCUACGGGAGGCAGCAGUGGGGAAUUUUGGACAAUGGGCGAAAGCCUGAUCCAGCCAUGCCGCGUGCAGGAUGAAGGCCUUCGGGUUGUAAACUGCUUUUGUACGGAACGAAACGGCCUUUUCUAAUAAAGAGGGCUAAUGACGGUACCGUAAGAAUAAGCACCGGCUAACUACGUGCCAGCAGCCGCGGUAAUACGUAGGGUGCAAGCGUUAAUCGGAAUUACUGGGCGUAAAGCGUGCGCAGGCGGUUAUGUAAGACAGUUGUGAAAUCCCCGGGCUCAACCUGGGAACUGCAUCUGUGACUGCAUAGCUAGAGUACGGUAGAGGGGGAUGGAAUUCCGCGUGUAGCAGUGAAAUGCGUAGAUAUGCGGAGGGACACCGAUGGCGAAGGCAAUCCCCUGGACCUGUACUGACGCUCAUGCACGAAAGCGUGGGGAGCAAACAGG